rnacentral:rRNA from 1 species
GACGAACGCUGGCGGCGUGCUUAACACAUGCAAGUCGAACGGAAAGGCCCUGCUUUUGUGGGGUGCUCGAGUGACGAACGGGUGAGUAACACGUGAGUAACCUGCCCUUGACUUUGGGAUAACUUCAGGAAACUGGGGCUAAUACCGUAUAGGAGCUCCUGCUGCAUGGUGGGGGUUGGAAAGUUUCGGCGGUUGGGGAUGGACUCGCGGCUUACCAGCUUGUUGGUGGGGUAGUGGCUUACCAAGGCUUUGACGGGUAGCCGGCCUGAGUGGGUGACCGGCCACAUUGGGACUGCGAUACGGCCCAGACUCCUACGGGAGGCAGCAGUGGGGAAUAUUGCACAAUGGGCGGAAGCCUGAUGCAGCAACGCCGCGUGCGGGAUGACGGCCUUCGGGUUGUAAACCGCUUUCGCCUGUGACGAAGCGUGAGUGACGGUAAUGGGUAAAGAAGCACCGGCUAACUACGUG